rnacentral:tRNA from 1 species
GGAAGGACGCGCCGUGGCGGCGAAGCGGCGUUGAACACCGCGCCGGGCAACGUGUCCCGAGGGUUCGAUUCCCUGUCCUUCCGC